rnacentral:rRNA from 1 species
AUACCGGCGGCUCGAGUGGUGGCCGCUUUUAUUGGGCUUAAAGCGUUCGUAGCUGGGUCGUUAAGUCUCUUGGGAAAUCCGGCAGCUCAACUGUCGGGCGUCUAAGAGAUACUGGCGAUCUUGGAACCGGGAGAGGUGAGGGGUACGUUCGGGGGUAGGAGUGAAAUCCUGUAAUCCUCGAGGGACCACCUGUGGCGAAGGCGCCUCACCAGAACGGCUUCGACAGUGAGGGACGAAAGCGUGGGGGAGC